GCUAUUUUUGGGAGUGGCUCUGGAUCAUGGGAGGAUUGUAUCUUCUAUACCUCUUUGAGGAUACCUCUUGCAUCCACUGGGUUGGUUCAAUACUGCCAGGAAACUUGACAAGAGAUUAUAAAGAAUUUAAAGUAACUCUAUGAUCAGAAGUUAGCCAAACUGGAAGCUUGAUAGGAAGGUGGGUUUUUUUUAAGAUUUUAUUUAUUUAUUCGUGAGAGACACACAGAGGAGAGAGAGACAGACAGACAGACAGACAGACUCAAGCAGAGGGAAAAGCAGGCUCUACACGGGGAGCCCAACACAGGACUCGAACCCGGUCUCCAGGAUCACACCCUGGGCUGAAGGUGCAGAAUGACAACAUGAGUUCCCUGCUUGCUUCUUGUCAGUUCCAGUAACCACAGCUUGUGAGGUGAGUGCAGAGGGCACACUGGAAAGACACCAACAGUGUUUUGUUACCAAAGGUUUAUGAUGAUGAAUAAGAUUCUCAAAUCCUGUCUUAUUGCCAAGCUAUAGUUUUAACACUUAAAGAAAUGGCCCAAGCCUUUUUCAUUUCCCUGAUAUAUUGUCUGCUUGAACAGCCAUGUGGGGUUAAGAAGUUUUCCAUCUCCAUAGGCCUCAGUUUCCUUGACUAUAAACCAAAAGCUCUCUGAAGUCCCAUCCAAAAGUAACAUUCUAGAAGGGUCCUUGACUCCAGGCGCACACAAAAUCAACCAGGCACUUUGGCACAUGUGUGUGAAGUCCACUUUUUCCCACUGAAGGUCUUAGUCUUUGCUUUUUCAUCUUGCUUCUGGUAAUCAACAUUUCAAUAUUAAAGUCAGAGAAUUUACAAAUAUAACAGCUAAAAAAAAAAAAGAUACCUCUGAAUGAUAAAAUGCUUCCCAAUGAGUAUUUCUAACACCUCACAAUUUGUCCUGGAACUAGGUGGUGUCAGGGAACUUCUAAGAGCUACCAUAACCCCACCUACUGUACCCUCAUUGAAGAAGUCAAAAGGCUAGAAAGCAUUUCUCAGUACAGAUGUGCUAAACACUGUGCCAAGUACUGCACAGCCUCUCUCUCUCUCUCUCUCUCUCUCUCUCUCUCUCUCUCUGCAGCAUCCCAUCACAAGAAUUACAGCAUCCCAGGGUGGAAAAGAACUUGAAAAUUUGUCUCAUCUGACCACCUUCUGAUACAAGAAUGUCUUCUACAAUAUCCCCGCACCUACCCUGUGCUUAACACCUCCAGGAAUGCCCCCACUCACGAUCUCUAGAACUUACUAGUUUUUUCAUCUUUUCAUCAAGUGGCCAGGCCCACAGCUAAGUGCUACUAAUCCAACAAUGAACCCUGCUCUCAAAGAGUUUACGGUCUAGACAGAGGUACAGGUGAAUUAAUGAAUGCAAUGAAAUAUGAUAUUGAAAUAGUAAUCUUCAUGCUUUUCUUUCCCUAAUUUCCUUGAACAGCAUCCUUCCCCAAGUCAACCAAAGGUUUUCACAUAUCCUUGAUGAAAAUGAUGACUAUUCCAGCAGAAAUGCUAAUGGAUAGAAAUGAUUAGAACUCACUUUUGUGACGUCCAAUGCAGGCACCUGAAGCCCACAGCAGAAACAGCAAUUUUGAAAGACAAAAAAUGCUAAUGGAUAGAAAUGAUUAGAACUCACUUUUGUGACGUCCAAUGCAGGCACCUGAAGCCCACAGCAGAAACAGCAAUUUUGAAAGACAAAUAAUUUUGACUUAAAAUGUCUGGAUUCUGCCAAGAGAAAAGGUCCUUAAAAAUUAAGAGUCAGGGCCCCAAGACAGUAUGGUGGAGAAUGAUCUAACUCUAGGGCACAUCAGAAUCGCCUAGAGUACCUAUGAAAACACAGGUUGCUGGCAACCACCCUGUGUUACUGAUUCCGUAGGUCCGGGAUGAGUAGUAUCUGUACUGUUAGGACCCUCCUGGGUGACAUUGUUGCUGCUGCUCCAGGGAUCACACUUUGAAAUCCAUCUUGACAGUGAACUGGAAAGAAGAUGAUCCAGGUUCAGGUCUAGGAGAAACUAAGUGACCCCCACCUGGGCUGGGAAGAAAGGUGGGGAUGAACUAGAAGGGUCACACCUGGGCAAUAGCAGGGCUUGCUGAGAAGAGGGACUGGACUCAGGGGGUACUUUGGGCAAAGUGGAGUCAACACUGAGAAACUUUUCAUCAUCAUCCACCAAAAGCAUCAGGGGGGCUAGGAGAGAGCUAAGCCAAUGUCUGCAGAUCACCUGCUACCAUUUGAGCAAGCACUGCACAUCACUUGUGCAAAGGAUCCCGUUAACUGUUCUUCCCAUUGCUGCCCAGUUAGGACCCUCUACUGACUGCUACAUGCAUGACACCUUAAGACAGUCUGCUUUUCCCUGGACCAUCUGUAUUAGUUUUCUAGAGAAACCCUAAUCUAUAGAGACCCUAAUCUCUGCCUUCAUCUUUUGCAUGUCCUUUCCUCUUCUUGUAAGGACACCAGCCAUUAGAUUUAGGACUCAUCUAAUCCAGUAUGACUUCAUAUUAAUGUAAUUAAUUAUACCUGUCAGGAUUAUUUCCGAAGAGGAUCCCACUCCAAGUUUCCAGGUAUACAUCAAUUUGGGGGGACACUAUUCAAUCCACUACUGAACUGAAUCCAAUCAUUGAACUUCCCUUACCCCCUCUCCUUUUCAAAAGCUCAGGACACUCAUUGGUCCCUUGAAAUAGAAGGUGGGAUUUUUGACAAAUAGAAGACAGGCUCCAGAGAAGUGAUCCAGUUGCAGAAAAAUCCCCUAAACCUGCACUUUGGUGGGAGUGGUCAGUAAUAAAUCUCACUCAUUAUGAUAAUGUUGAUAGGUUAUUAUGAGGAAGGCAAGAUGCAAUGGGAACCCAGAAGGCAGGACCUGAACACAGACUUGAAUGUGAGGCAUGGUUUCCUAACAGUUAAAAGGUCUCAGGUGAGAUCUGAAGAAUGAGCAGAAAAUACUCAGCUGAAGAUCUGGGUGAGAAAAGAGACACCAGGGAAGAGUGUUCCAGUGGGGGAGACACCUGGACAAAGACCCAGAAGUAAGAGAAAAACACGAUUCAUUACCAGAGCUCAAGCACACUCAAGAUGGCUGGAUUGUAGAGUGGUACAUGGGGGUGGGAGGGAGAGCACCUAGGGUACUGAGGUGUGAGCCCAUGGCUUUUACUCUUCAAGUCACACAGAAUAAUCCUAGCCAUUCUUCAACUCAAAACUCCUUAUGUCCUUUUUUCAAAGUUAUUUAAACUCCAUUAGUUAACAUGUAGCUUAUCAUUAGUUUCUAAUGUAGAAUUUAGUGAUUCAUCCAUUGCAUAUAACAUCCAGUGCUCAUUACAUCAAGUGCCCUCCUUAAUACCUGUCACCCAGUUACCCCAAACCUCACCCACCUCCCCUUCAGCCACCCUCAGUUUGUUUCCUAGAGUUAAGAGUCUAUUAUGGUUUGUCUCCCUGAUUUUAACUUACUUUAUUUUUCCCUCCCUUCCCACACGAUCCUCUUGUUUCUUAAAUUCCACAUACGAGUGAAACCAUAUGAUAAUUGUCCUUCUCUGAUUGACUUAUUUUACUUAGCAUAAUGCCCUCCAGUUCUAUUCUCAUCGAUGUAAAUGGUAAGAUUUCAUCUUUUUGAUGGCUGAGUAAUGUUCCGGGAUAUAUAUAUAUAUCCCACAUCUUCUUUGUCUAUUCAUCUGUCAAUGGACAUCUGGGCUCUUCCUGUAGUUUGACUUUUGUAACUGCUGCUAUAAACAUUGAGGUGCAGGUGCCCUUUUGGAUCACAACAUUAGUGUUCUUUGGGUAAAUACCUAGUAGUGGAAUUGCUGGGUUUGGGGUAGCUCUAUUUUUAACUUCUUGAGGAACCAGAGUGGCUGCACCAGCUUGCCUUCCCUGAAGUGUACACACCAGAAGUGUACGAGGGUUCCCCUUCCUCCGCAUCCUCGCCAGCAUUUGUUGUUUCCUAACUUGUUCAUUUUAGCCAUAUGUCCUUUUAGUCCUUUAAAAACAGGUAUCUUGUUGUCCUUAAAUGUUCUCUUCUCCAAGUUAAAUACACCUAAUUUCUCCAAGGAUUUCUUGUAUACUUUAGAGUCCCAUCUCAAUCCUAACUAUCCUGGUUGAAGUCCUGCAAAUACGCUCCAGCUUGUCUAAAUCUCUCCAGGCAGAAUCCCCAAAUGGAAGAAAAUACUCCAACCCAACACCACAAGAUCCAUGUUUACUGAUGGCAGCUUUCCCUCCUAGACCUAGGAAUACAACUAAGGCAGGUCUUUGUGGCAGAGAUUGCUAACUGGACCUCAAUAUCCACCAUUACUGUCUUCCUUUUUACUAACAUAAGCUCCGUUCAAGGUUUAGCUAAGCACAUGGCUGCUCAACUAGAGAUUAAUAACUUUGUCUUCUUUGUACCUGACUGUGUGACUCCAUAGCCUAGUCAUGUGACUAAGUUCUGGUCCAUAUGAUUUUCUUAGCAAAGUCAUUUAUUCCAGUCUUCCUCCCUCCCUCCCUCCUCUCUUUCUCUCUGGAAAGAAAAACAACUGUAGCAGCAUCCUUGUGCUCAGAUGUGGAAGUCCCAUGUUGAAGAGAGCAGAAAAAAACAACCCACCUGGGUGUCUGGAUGACUUCUUGAGGCAGAGAGUACUCUACUCACCCUAAACAGCCCACCCAUCUCUGGACUGUUAGAUGAGGUAGAUGGAAAUUUCUAUAACCUUGGAGCCACUAUAAUGACUCCAGGAAUCAUCCCCAUGUGGACCCUACUGAUAUAUAUUACAUCUGGUAUAGAUGCAGGUUUAUGUGCUCAUCCAGAAAAUAUAUCAUCCCCAUGUGGACCCUACUGAUAUAUAUUACAUCUGGUAUAGAUGCAGGUUUAUGUGCUCAUCCAGAAAAUAUAUCAAGCAUCUACUAGAUGCCACACACUACGGAUUUGGUGGUAUCGUUAUUUCUGAAAUGGG
rnacentral:lncRNA from 1 species